GACGAACGCUGGCGGCGUGCUUAACACAUGCAAGUCGAGCGGUAAGGCCCUUUCGGGGGUACGACGAGCGGCGAACGGGUGAGUAACACGUGGGUGACCUGCCCUCAGCUCUGGGAUAAGCCUGGGAAACUGGGUCUAAUACUGGAUAUGACUCCACGGUGCAUGUCGGUGGGGUGGAAAGCCUUGUGCGGCUGAGGAUGGGCCCGCGGCCUAUCAGC
rnacentral:rRNA from 1 species